UACGAAGGGGGCGAGCGUUGUCCGGAUUUAUUGGGCGUAAAGAGCGUGUAGGCGGCCAGGUAGGUCCGUUGUGAAAACUCGAGGCUCAACCUCGAGACGCCGAUGGAAACCAUCUGGCUAGAGUCCGGAAGAGGAGAGUGGAAUUCCCGGUGUAGCGGUGAAAUGCGCAGAUAUCGGGAAGAACACCCGUGGCUAAGGCGGCUCUCUAGUACGGUACUGACGCUGAGACGCGAAAGCGUGGGGAGCGAACAGG
rnacentral:rRNA from 1 species